GAUGAACGCUGGCGGCGUGCUUAACACAUGCAAGUCGAACGAGAAGUGAAGACGGAAACCUUCGGGCGGAAGGCUUUAUUUCGAGUGGCGGACGGGUGAGUAACGCGUGGGUAACCUGCCUCAUACAGGGGGAUAACAGUUGGAAACGACUGUUAAUACCGCAUAAGACCACAGCACCGCAUGGUGAGGGGGUAAAAACUCCGGUGGUAUGAGAUGGACCCGCGUUCGAUUAGCCAGUUGGCGGGGUAACGGCCCACCAAAGCGACGAUUGAUAGCCGAUCUGAGAGGAUGACCGGCCACAUUGAGACUGAGACACGGCCCAAACUCCUACGGUAGGCAGCAGUGGGGAAUAUUGCACAAUGGGGGAAACCCUGAUGCAGCGACGCCGCGUGAGUGAAGAAGUAUUUCGGUAUGUAAAGCUCUAUCAGCAGGGAAGAAAAUGACGGUACCUGAGUAAGAAGCCCCGGCUAACUACGUG
rnacentral:rRNA from 1 species